rnacentral:snRNA from 1 species
GUUCUUGUCCAGGGAUUUUACGUUGUUAUUGAUCGUCACUGUGAAACACGUAAUUGCUGAUUGCGAUCUGCCCUUUUCUACCCGUUUUCUUGCUUGCGAAAGAGUUUGAGAAAACAAUUUUUGAACUCUGAAAGCACUUCAG